CCCAGCGGCACUGCCCCGCCUCGAGCCUCACGUCAAAGAUCUCGAAGCCAGCGAUGUCCAAGACGCCGAUGAAGUACUGCCGCGGCUGCUUGGUGUCCAGCGAGUUGUUGAUCCUCACCACCAUCCAGUUGAACAUCUUCUCGUAGACGGCCUUGGCCAGGGCCCCGAUGGAGUAGUAGACCUGCUGGACGCUCUGCCCCUUGGUGACGUACUCGUUGCCCACCUUGACGCGCGGGUGGCACAAGCCCUUGAGCAGGUCGGCCGAGUUCAGCCCCAUCAGCUCCUCGGCGUCGUCGAUGGAGGCCACGGUCACCUCGCCCUGGGACACGUACCCGUAGUCGUAGGGGUUGGAGGUGACCAGCAGCAUCUCUGGGGUGGGAUGGAGACACCUCUGAGCACUCCCCAAUCUCCUCAAACCACCCCAAAUUUCGGGAAAAGGGGGGAAGGAGAAGCCCCGAGGCCAUGGUGGUGGCCCAGCUCACCCAGGAGCUCCGGCUUCUUGUUGGAGAGGAUCUGGUAGAAGAUGUGGUAGUUGCGCUCGGCCUUCAGCUGGAAGAUGACGCGGGACUUCUCCAGGAGGAGGACAGACGGACAUGUGGAUGGAUGAAGGGAUGGACGGAGCCAUGAGGAGAUGGGAGGAUGAGGAAGCGGACAGAGGGACGAGGAGGGCUCUGGACACACGGACAGCGGCCGGACAUUGGCCAAGCCCUGCUCCCACCACCCUUGGCCACUCACAGGUCUCGAUGUCGGCCGACGCCAACUUCCCGGUGGCCCCGAAGUGGAUCCGGAUGAACUUCCCCUGAAAGGGCGGUGGGGAGCCAUGGGCCCUGCCCCACAGAGGCCACCCCAGAGACCCCAAAAUCCAA